AUUGAGCUUGACUUGACCACCUGACUCUUCACAUAUGAAAACCAUGCUGGUGCGUCUUGUAGGUAUCGUGUUUUAGAUAGCGUGUACCUUGUACGAAAAAAAGGCACACAGUGUUUUUUCUUUUGUCUAAUAAUUGAGGCCCAUGAUAACUUAAGAUCUGGCCCAAGACUGUUAUCCCUGCUAGGGUUAAUCCACUGGCUCUCCUAUAUAGAAGCGCGGCGAGAGCUCGCACCGCCGCCGCCGCCGCUGUCGCAUCACAGGCCUCUCUUCCGGUUUCCCCCCAAACCCGUCCGAGAGGCAGUCAUCCCGCCGCGAUGAGGGCCAAGUGGAAGAAGAAGCGGAUGAGGCGGCUUAAGAGGAAGCGCCGAAAGAUGAGGCAGAGGUCCAAGUAGGCAGAUUCAUGGAGUGUCCCCGCCUGGAGUCUCUCUGCGUUCGGUUGUUGUUUACUGAGUAAUUUUAGUUUUUUUACUAAGACAGUCUGUUAUGGAUCAGAAAUUCCUUGCGUUUGUCCGUGGUCUAGAUAUUGCAUCAAGUGUUCUGCACUUUAUUCUUUAGUUGUUAGUUGAUGCGAGUGCUUGUCAA